GACGAACGCUGGCGGCAUGCCUAAUACAUGCAAGUCGAGCGAACAGAUGAAGUGCUUGCACUUCUGACGUUAGCGGCGAACGGGUGAGUAACACGUAAGGAAUCUGCCUAUAAGCGGGGGAUAACAUUCGGAAACGGGUGCUAAUACCGCAUAAUAUCUUCUUCCGCAUGGAAGAAGAUUGAAAGACGGCUCUGCUGUCACUUAUAGAUGACCUUGCGGUGCAUUAGUUAGUUGGUGGGGUAACGGCCUACCAAGACGAUGAUGCAUAGCCGACCUGAGAGGGUGAGCGGCCACAUUGGGACUGAGAAACGGCCCGAACUCCUACGGGAGGCAGCAGUAGGGAAUCUUCCGCAAUGGGCGAAAGCCUGACGGAGCAAUGCCGCGUGAGUGAAGAAGGCCUUCGGGUCGUAAUACUCUGUUAUAAGAGAAGAACAAAUUGUAGAGUAACUGCUACAGUCUUGACGGUAUCUUAUCAGAAAGCCACGGCUAACUACGUGCCAGCCGCCGCGGUAA
rnacentral:rRNA from 1 species